rfam:Schistosoma mattheei strain Denwood, Zambia genome assembly, scaffold: SMTD_contig0001791
AUCAAGCUGACGAAUCCCAAACAGGACGAAACGCGCGUCCUGGAU